CAAUGGCCGACAGAGGCUCACGCCUGUGGCGGUGGCUUGGCGAUGGCGACGGGGAAGUCGAUGACGACCACCUUCUCGAGUGCGGCCAUGAACGUGGCGGCGAACGCGGCGUGCUUCUCGUGGGACACGUAGGCGGUGAGGUCGUCGGCGGAGGCGAAGGUGAGGGAGAAGACGUGGGUGAAGCCCUGCGUCAGCAUCUCCUGGUUCAGCACGUCCUGCCCCCUGCAACAACAGUUUCAGUAUUCAUUCGUUCGUUCGUUCAUGGAGGCCAUGAACACAUUGCAAUAUCUAGCUAUGGUAGCCCAUCUCUCUUUUAGUUUAGUGAUCAUCGUGAUACUGUCCUUGCUGGGCAUGUCAGUUUUGAGUAAAGCAGACUCUGAAGAAGUUGGACAGAUACCUGGAUGACUGAACAAAAGCUUGCUUAACACAUUCAGACUUCUAAUAGCAUGCGUUACUACUUGAAGAUGUAGUGUAAAGUUUACCCAAAAAGUUGAAAUGCUGAAUACACAUUCAGCUUCACUGAAGUAAAGCACUAAUAGCUAGUUUCUGAAGAAGUUGCUAUGCGCGCUGAGUGACUGAACGUAAGCCUAUAACACAUUCAGACUCCUACACAUCCUUGACGAAAGGGGGGAAAUGGAGGAGGAAGUGCAAAGGUAACUCGAUCAUCAUAGUGUUACCACUCGAAGGAUUUGACCAUGUCCAUCUGGGCGGCAAGGUCGGCCAUGCCUUUGAGGACGUCCUCCACCACGACGCCCUCCUUGAACUUCACCAGGCACAGGUGCUUCACCUCCCCCAUGCCGCACUCCGAAUGGCUUUGCAGAGAGGAUCGGAGUGCCAAUGCGAUGGACCGUGGCGCCAUGAUGCCCGCCCAAUUUAAGGCCGGAGCACCGACAGAGCUGCUCCUCUCGCGCACUGGGCUGAAUCAUUUCGGCACAGUAAACACGACGCACAGAGCUGCUGGUUUGAGAGCAUGCUGACGCGGUUAGAUCUAGGAUGAGUCGCUCGUGCAUGAUUUCGAUUGGACCGACCGACAUCCAC
rnacentral:lncRNA from 1 species